rnacentral:tRNA from 1 species
AAUGUGGAGCCUGAAUUUAAAGGGUUAUCUUGAUGUGAUAAAAUUUGUAAUUUUUACUAACAUUA